rnacentral:misc_RNA from 1 species
GUAGGUGAACCUGCGGAAGGAUCAUUAAUGAAUUUUAAUGGACGGGGUUGUCGCUGGCCUGACUCAGGCAUGUGCACACCUUGCUUCAUCCAAUUCUUACACCUCUGUGCACCUUUUUCAUGGGCUGGUUUUGUGGCUUGCUUUGCUCUUUGGGCAAAGUUUGUUCAGACCUUCCUGUGUCAUACAUUUAUACGCUUCAGUUAUUAGAAUGUCAUUUUAUUGCUAUAAACGCAUUUAAAUACAACUUUCAGCAACGGAUCUCUUGGCUCUC